rnacentral:tRNA from 1 species
GCUUUCGUUGUGUAAUGGUUAGCACACUCGGCAUGUACUCAAAAGGUCCGGGUUCGAGUCCCUGUGAGGGCA